UGAAACCCUAGCUUUCCUUGCACCUCACCGACUUUGCAGCCAAUCACGACAAAUGUCACCGGCGACGGCAACAAUGACUACAAACACCGCAAAAUCGGAAGCUUCUACAUCUUCUCACAGAUUGUUCGAAACAAAAACCAUCCAAAAUUCCGUAAACACCACAAAAUAGAAAAAACCAUAAAUCGCUCUCCAACUUUUAUGCCAUUCUCCAACACAAUCGAAGAAAUCGAUGUCGUGCCCUAGAUCUGUGUUCUCCGGUGUUGUCAAUUCACCGUCUCAAACACCAAUUCUCCGACGAAACCUUAAAUCUUUCAGAUCCUGCCAUUACUCCGACAAAAUUGGAGAAAUCGAAGUCGUAUGCGAAUUACUUUUCUCUCCUGCUCUCAUUUGACGGCCUCGAACACAGAUGCCGCAACAGAGACGAAAUCCUCACCAUCACCAGAUUAGGGAUAAAAAGGAAAAAACAACUCAAAUGUAGAAGCAGUGCAAGGUCUCAAGAAUAACAAAAUGGAAGGAAUGCCAGAUUCAACAAAAGGGGAGAGAAGAAGAAGAUAAACAGGCGCCUUUCACUCCUCACGGUGCAAUCAUCAUCGAAGAAGCACCAAUGUCGUAGCAGGCGUGGCCUCCCUACAACCUACUCUACUACAUCAGCAACAAAACAACAUAGCUAUAUGAAUAAAUAUAUCAAGAAUAUUUUUCAGGGACAAAUUGCAAUAUGACUAACAAUAUUACUCCAUUUCAUAACUACAUUAAGACAAAAAUCAUUGGAAACCGGCGAGUGAAACAGUGUUAGCUUUGGAAGAAUGGAAAAAACAGAUAUAUUGUAAUAGUAGAAUAGUGGUAUUUUAUAUCAAGCCUAUAAAAGGCCAACAGAAAAAGGCUGCAAAUCCACUGA